rnacentral:rRNA from 1 species
UGGCGGACGGGUGAGUAACGCGUGAGGAACCUGCCUUUCAGUGGGGGACAACAGUUGGAAACGACUGCUAAUACCGCAUAACGUACGGGUAUCGCAUGGUACUGGUACCAAAGAUUUAUCGCUGAGAGAUGGCCUCGCGUCUGAUUAGCUAGUUGGUAGGGUAACGGCCUACCAAGGCGACGAUCAGUAGCCGGACUGAGAGGUUGGCCGGCCACAUUGGGACUGAGAUACGGCCCAGACUCCUACGGAAGGCAGCAG